rnacentral:rRNA from 1 species
UUGCUGGCUUUUAGGAGCAUGUGCACGCCUACUCCAUUUUUUAUAAACCCCUUGUGCACCUUUUGUAGACCUGAAUAACAUCUCGAGGGGAUUAACCUCGGUCUGAGAAUUGCUGUGUGUGAAAACCCAGCUUUUCUUGGUUUUCAGGUCUAUGUUUUAUAUACACACCACAAGAAUGUAUUAGAAUGUUGUAAUAGGCUUUUUGUGCCUUUAUUAAAACAUAAUACAACUUUCAACAACGGAUCUCUUGGCUCUCGCAUCGAUGAAGAACGCAGCGAAAUGCGAUAAGUAAUGUGAAUUGCAGAAUUCAGUGAAUCAUCGAAUCUUUGAACGCACCUUGCGCUCCUUGGUAUUCCGAGGAGCAUGCCUGUUUGAGUGUCAUGAAAUUCUCAACCUUUCUGGCUUUUGCAAGCUAGCUAGGCUUGGAUUGAUGGGAGUUGCUGGCCUUUUUUAAAGUCAGCUCUUCUUAAAUGCAUUAGCAAGAUCGUUGCUGAUCAUCUUUGGUAUGAUAAUUAUCUAUAUCAUUGAGAAUUGGUUUCCUUCAUGGAAGAUUUUGCUUCUAAUGGUCUCUAAUGAGACAAUAUCUGAAAAAUUUGACCUCAAAUCAGGUAGGACUACCCGCU